GUAGGGAAUCUUGCGCAAUGGGCGAAAGCCUGACGCAGCGACGCCGCGUGAGCGAUGAAGGCCUUCGGGUUGUAAAGCUCUGUGGGGAGGGAAGAAUAAGAGCAAGCUAAUACCUUGUUCGAUGACGGUACCUCCUUAGCAAGCACCGGCUAACUCUGUGCCAGCAGCCGCGGUAAGACAGAGGGUGCAAACGUUGUUCGGAAUUACUGGGCGUAAAGCGCGUGUAGGCGGCUAUGUAAGUCGGGCGUGAAAUCCCACGGCUCAACCGUGGAAGUGCACCCGAAACUGCGUAGCUAGAGUCCUGGAGAGGAAGGUGGAAUGCUUGGUGUAGAGGUGAAAUUCGUAGAUAUCAAGCGGAACACCGGUGGCGAAGGCGGCCUUCUGGACAGUGACUGACGCUGAGACGCGAAAGCGUGGGGAGCAAACAGGAUUAGAAACCCGGGUAGUCC
rnacentral:rRNA from 1 species